CGCCUCGUUACGAGGGGAUGAAGGGACUGUGUAUGGUUCUGGUUCAAUCAUGUUUCACGCAACGUCGCUGAUACAUACGAUCAACUGUCAAGUGGGGAAAGCGGUAAUACCUGAAAGACGGAAAUAGAUGUAAAUAGAAACAUAUUAUGUAUCUUCGUUUUGUCGUCGAAACAAUUAUAAUUACAUAUAAUAACCUAAAUCAAUGAUGUUAAUAAAAACAGAUUAAUUAAUAUUUGAGUUUAACGAAGCAAGUUCUUUGAGUCGCAUGCAUUUUAUCUAUAAAGGAUCGAUUAGAAUGUUAGUUUCCACGUUUUGAAGAAGAAAUCAUGAAACGAAACCUUAUCUUGAACCGAAGUGUCACGCUACAAAACAGAAACAUCGGAGGCGUUCCACGAUGUUUACCAUCGGAUGAAACGGCAAACGGACACCGAAUCGGCGUGGAAUCGAAUGAGAUAAAAGGCAAGUGGAAGUCGGAUGGGUGUUCCGUCCAGACGACAUCGCCCCGUCUUCGACUCGUUUCUUGUCACACACGGCCCGAGUAGCGUACGCUCGCGUGUGCGCGGCACACGGAUACACACGGCUGGAACAGCCGUGCAACACACACACGUACAGGAGUCGAGGAACGCAGAUCGCUAGAGGCGCUGUUCCGCUGACCUACUCUACGAUUAUCGCUCGGCUAUAGCCCGGUGCAGGGAGUUUAUUCAUUUAUCAACGCAAAUGGACGUGCCUCCGAUGUUUUAAACAACGUCUAAUUUCAUCUUGUAAUUGGUCAGACGCAACGAGGACGUAGUCAUUGAUUGAAUCUAAUCAAUGAUCGUUAGUGGUCGCGAGCAAUGGUCUUAUACACAGGCGGUAUAAGUAUUCCUUGAGAAAAAAUUUAUAAAAAUCUAUCAGGGAUCGAAUCAGGAAUUAAUUAGAAUGUUUUACUUACUAUCUAUCUACUCUACAUAACCGAACGUUCAAAAGUAUUAUAAAACGUAUAUAUAUA